rnacentral:rRNA from 1 species
UACGGAGGGUGCAAGCGUUAUCCGGAUUCACUGGGUUUAAAGGGUGCGUAGGAGGGCAGGUAAGUCCGUGGUGAAAUCCUAGAGCUUAACUCUAGAACUGCCGUGGAUACUAUCUGUCUUGAAUCCCGUGGAGAUGAGCGGAAUAUGUCAUGUAGCGGUGAAAUGCUUAGAUAUGACAUAGAACACCAAUUGCGAAGGCAGCUCGUUACACGAAGAUUGACUCUGAGGUACGAAAGCGUGGGGAUCAAACAGG